rnacentral:tRNA from 1 species
GCCCCCAUGGUGUAAUGGUUAGCACUCUGGACUCUGAAUCCAGCAACCCGAGUUCAAAUUUCGGUGAGGCUU